GUGACAGUCCCGUACACGAAAACACACAGGUUGUGAACUCGAAGAGUAGGGCGGGACACGUGGUAUCCUGUCUGAAUAUGGGGGGACCAUCCUCCAAGGCUAAAUACUCCUGACUGACCGAUAGUGAACCAGUACCGUGAGGGAAAGGCGAAAAGAACCCCGGCGAGGGGAGUGAAAAAGAACCUGAAACCGUGUACGUACAAGCAGUGGGAGCACCCUCGUGGUGUGACUGCGUACCUUUU
rnacentral:rRNA from 1 species